GCUCGAGUGGCGAACGGGUGAGUAACACGUGAGUAACCUGCCCUUGACUUUGGGAUAACUUCAGGAAACUGGGCUAAUACCGGAUAGGAGCUCCUGCUGCAUGGUGGGGGUUGGAAAGUUUAGGCGGUUGGGGAUGGACUCGCGGCUUAUCAGCUUGUUGGUGGGGUAGUGGCUUACCAAGGCUUUGACGGGUAGCCGGCCUGAGAGGGUGACCGGCCACAUUGGGACUGAGAUACGGCCCAG
rnacentral:rRNA from 1 species